CAAUCUGAGGGACAACACCAGAAGCACGAGUUCAUACAAAGCUCGCGCUGGUUAGUGAUCAGUAUUAGGCGCGUAGUGUAAGUAAGCAGGUCCGAUGCGCUAGUCAAGGCAACCCACAGCAGAGAUGAAGGCGGACUCUUAUUGGCUCUGAUUUUUAAAGCCCUUUUCAUUCAAAAGAGGUUGCCCAUUAACAACAUGGCAGAGCUGUCGGCCACGGUACCCACUGCAAAAAUGGCGGCACUUAGCCGGGUCCGAGCCCUGACUCUGGUUUUCUUAACUGUCAGCGCUUGUUUGGUGAGCUCGACAAGUGGAAAGGACGGGGAGGAUGAGACGGUUAUUAUAGGUCUUAGACUGGAGGACACGGAUGACAUUUCCUUUAUGGACAGGGGAUAUUUGCGGGUUAGUGAAAGGACUCGUGUCAAGUUGAGGGUCUAUGGGCAAAACAUUAACAACGAGACUUGGUCCAAAAUUGCGUUCACAGAGCACGAACGUACCAAAGUCAUUGGCAACAUUGACAGCUCAUCUGGUGACAACAACAGCCAAGAGGACACGUCCAGCUUCUUUCCUUGCGGCAUUAGAACCUCGGAUAUUAUAAUCCUGCCCAACAUAGUCCUAAAUAGAAAAACAUCGGGGAUAAUUGAAAUCGAAGUCAAGCCUCUGCGAAAAACAGAAAGAAGUAAAGCGUACUACUUGUGCAUUGCCACUUCAGCGCCUGCUGCAGCAGGCUUGCACGACCCAUGGAGCGAGAAUACUUGGGUCUAUCACGAUGGUGAUGAUACUAAAGUUAUAGUGGUGGAAGAGAAAAAGUUUUUGCUUCCCUUCUGGCUACAAGUCAUCUUCAUCUCCAUGCUCCUGUGUCUGUCGGGCAUGUUUAGCGGGUUGAAUUUGGGAUUGAUGGCGCUGGAUCCCAUGGAACUGCAGAUAGUUCAGAACUGUGGCACGGAAAAGGAGAAAAGCUAUGCGAAGAAAAUCGAGCCCGUACGAAGUCAGGGGAAUUACCUACUUUGCUCGCUUCUCUUAGGAAACGUCUUGGUCAAUACUACUUUAACUAUUCUGCUCGAUGACAUUGCAGGAUCUGGAUUGAUCGCGGUCGUAAUGUCAACCAUUGGAAUAGUCAUAUUCGGGGAAAUCGUGCCUCAGGCUAUAUGCUCGAGACACGGUCUUGCAGUCGGUGCGAAUACCAUAUUCUUGACCAAAUUCUUCAUGCUGCUUACCUUCCCAGCUUCCUAUCCCGUAAGCAAACUUUUAGAUUAUCUUCUGGGCCAGGAGAUCGGAACCGUAUAUAACAGAGAGAAACUCCUGGAGAUGCUAAGAGUUACAGAUCCGUAUAACGAUUUAGUUAAAGAGGAGCUGAACAUCAUUCAGGGAGCUUUGGAGCUCAGGACUAAGACCGUGGAAGAUGUGAUGACACCCCUGAGAGAUUGCUUUAUGAUUGCGGGGGAUGCUAUACUCGACUUUAAUACGAUGUCAGAAAUUAUGGAGAGUGGGUACACUCGCAUCCCCGUGUUUGAAGGGGACAGGUCUAACAUCGUGGACAUACUCUUCGUCAAAGACCUGGCGUUUGUGGAUCCGGAUGACAGUACCCCCCUGAAAACGAUCACCAAGUUUUAUAGCCACCCUUUGCAUUUCGUCUUCAAUGACACCAAACUGGAUGCCAUGCUGGAGGAGUUUAAGAAAGGUAAAUCCCACCUGGCGAUUGUCCAGAGGGUAAACAACGAGGGGGAAGGAGACCCCUUCUACGAGGUGCUGGGUAUCGUCACCUUGGAAGAUGUUAUCGAAGAAAUCAUCAAGUCUGAAAUUUUGGAUGAGACUGACUUGUAUACCGACAACAAAACGAAAAAGAAAAUAACCCAUCGGGAAAGGAAGCAGGAUUUCUCGGCCUUCAGGCCCACGGACAAUGAGACGAAGGUUAAAAUAUCACCUCAGCUUCUACUGGCUACACUGCGUUUCCUAGCAACAGAAGUAGAACCCUUCAGUCCGACUCAGAUGUCUGAGAAGAUUCUCCUGCGUCUUCUCAAACACCCCAACGUCAUCCAGGAGCUGAAGUACAACGACAAGAACAAGAGAGCUCCAGAUCACUACCUCUUCCACCGCAACAAGCCUGUAGACUACUUCAUCCUCAUCCUUCAGGGCAAAGUGGAGGUGGAGGCAGGCAAGGAGGGCAUGAGGUUUGAAGCUGGACCGUUUUCCUCCUAUGGAGUGAUGUCCCUGACCGUCUCCCCAGUUCCUCUGUCCCUGUCUCGCACCUUUGUGGUCAGUAGGGCCGAGUCACUAGCCGGAUCACCAGGUACAGUACAUCUCAAAUGCGCAACUCUCCCGCCCUCCGAGUCUGUUAUACCGACUGUCUCUCAAGCUAUCUCUACGUCUACGUAUUCUGUCCAAUGAAAGACACGUCUCUUCAAAAAUCCAUUUCAGGAGCAAAAAAAUAACACAUUUUCUCAGAAACUACAAGAUCAAACAAUGAAUGAACCACCGUUAGCCCCACAGAUAGAUACGCUGUCAGUGAACAGCUUAAUGUUUUAAAUGGAUUGUCAGCAAGAAACUUGAUACAAACUAUUCUUACCUAAUGUUCACAAUUAACAAUGUUAGGUAGCUAAAUAUCAAUGUUAAGUUGUUCUUUUAUGUAAUAUAAAGCAAGCAACUGUCAUGAAUAGAAAUGUUAACUAAUACAAAGAUACUAGUUAAGUGGAGCACUUCAUGAAGCGUGUUUUCAUUGGUCAAUUAGAUUAAAUAGUAUCAGUAGACAGAUGAGAAUGUAGCGAAAUCGUCGAAAAAGUGGACGUACGCAGUUUUCAUCAGUGAUGUUAUGUCACCCUUAUGACCCAAGUACUUAAAGCACUUUGGCCAAUGUUGUCACCCAAGCCUGAAUAUCACAUACGGCACUGUCACCUUUUAAGGCACUAUGUUUAUAUAUGAGAAGGGAAAUAACUGUUUCAGUAGUGUGAUCCAUAACUGGAAUUUAUUCUGAGUGACUGAACAAUGGUAAGCCAGUUCUUAACCCCCACAUAGCUGGAUUCUUUCAGUUUUAUGCUUUUUUUUGUCUCAAUCCCCUGGUGCUGUGCUGGUAAUGUAUAGUCACACACCCAGCUCUGUAAACAGGGACGUGAAGUACAGUGUCCAGCUGGCCCAGCAGUAGAGAAACACCCUCCCAGUGAACUGGCCUUUCUGGCCUCUCUCACUGAUCUCAGAGGCUGACUCGGCCCACAUCUGGUAUAGUGACCUUCUCAGCAAGAAUUUUCCGAUUGCCGAAUUACAUCAGUCCCAGCCCCGGAGCCUUGGGACUGCGGGAAAGGUAGCGUCCUGAUCACACAUGCCUGGCUCACAUGCCUGGCAUAUUGCACUAGUGCACCUAGCUUUAAAUUGAUAUCCAGACUGGGAUUAUAUACAUUCCAUCCAAAUUGAAGUUCAGAGGCUACCCUUGGGAAGCCCUUUCAACAUUUCCUUUAAGAAGGGAAAACAUAAUCUGUCUUUAAUUAAAAAAAAAAACAAAUAUUCCCAUUGAAACAGACAUUUUAUCACUGCACUCCGACAUUCAUUUUAGUUUUCCAGGCAGUUUUUCCACAGAGUCAGCAGAGUAGCUGUAUCUUCUCAUCUUCCCAGUUCAUGGGAAGCGGUUUUGCGUAGGACAAUGAAGUUCCUCUUGUCCUGUGAUUGGAGUACCUUUCACCUACUAGAAAAUAUCAGCGGACAAAGAGCCCCACCUUGUGGUCAGAUGUGCAUUUUUAUAUAUUUUUUUUUUUUCAAAGAAUUUGAGAAAGUCUUGAAAAUCCAUUAAAAAGGUCACAGAAUAUUGAACCAGAGAAUAAGUCCCCCCCGAGGUCGUUCGGGCUGAAUCACUCGGACUCCCUGAACCGCAGCGACCGGAUCGAUGCCGUUACUCCCACGCUGGGUAGCAGCAACAACCAGCUCAACACCUUCCUUCAGAUCUACAUGCCA